UACGGAGGAUGCGAGCGUUAUCCGGAUUUAUUGGGUUUAAAGGGUGCGUAGGCGGACUGUCAAGUCAGCGGUAAAAUACGGGGGCUCAACCUCCGCCCGCCGUUGAAACUGACGGUCUUGAGUGGGCGAGAAGUAUGCGGAAUGCGUGGUGUAGCGGUGAAAUGCAUAGAUAUCACGCAGAACUCCGAUUGCGAAGGCAGCAUACCGGCGCCCAACUGACGCUGAAGCACGAAGCGUGGGUAGUCGAACAGG
rnacentral:rRNA from 1 species